UUGCUUCGGCAGCACAUACACUAAAAUUGGAACAAUACAGAGAAGAUCAGCAUGGCCCUGCGCGAGGAUGACAAGCAAAUUCGUGAAGCGUUCCAUAUUUUU
rnacentral:snRNA from 1 species